rnacentral:rRNA from 1 species
AGACCCGAAACCCGGUGAUCUAGCCAUGGGCAGGUUGAAGGUUGGGUAACACUAACUGGAGGACCGAACCGACUAAUGUUGAAAAAUUAGCGGAUGACCUGUGGCUGGGGGUGAAAGGCCAAUCAAACCGGGAGAUAGCUGGUUCUCCCCGAAAGCUAUUUAGGUAGCGCCUCGUGAAUUCAUCUCCGGGGGUAGAGCACUGUUUCGGCUAGGGGGCCAUCCCGGCUUACCAACCCGAUGCAAACUGCGAAUACCGGAGAAUGUUAUCACGGGAGACACACGGCGGGUGCUAACGUCCGUCGUGAAGAGGGAAACAACCCAGACCGCCAGCUAAGGUCCCAAAGUCAUGGUUAAGUGGGAAACGAUGUGGGAAGGCCCAGACAGCCAGGAUGUUGGCUUAGAAGCAGCCAUCAUUUAAAGAAAGCGUAAUAGCUCACUGGUCGAGUCGGCCUGCGCGGAAGAUGUAACGGGGCUAAACCAUGCACCGAAGCUGCGGCAGCGAACGUAUCACCCAAGACAACUUUACGGAGUUGACGAUUGACGGAGCGAAGCGACGUCAAAGCGUUCAUUAAAGUCGAGUUGGCUUAGGGAUACGUUCGUUGGGUAGGGGAGCGUUCUGUAAGCCUGUGAAGGUGUGUCGUGAGGCAUGCUGGAGGUAUCAGAAGUGCGAAUGCUGACAUAAGUAACGAUAAAGCGGGUGAAAAGCCCGCUCGCCGGAAGACCAAGGGUUCCUGUCCAACGUUAAUCGGGGCAGGGUGAGUCGACCCCUAAGGCGAGGCCGAAAGGCGUAGUCGAUGGGAAACGGGUUAAUAUUCCCGUACUUGGUGUUACUGCGAAGGGGGGACGGAGAAGGCUAUGUUGGCCGGGCGACGGUUGUCCCGGUUUAAGCGUGUAGGUGUGUGUUCCAGGUAAAUCCGGUUCACUUUAACACUGAGGCGUGAUGACGAGGCACUACGGUGCUGAAGCAACAAAUGC